rnacentral:piRNA from 1 species
UGGCUACACCACUCUGCAUGUGGAG